GAUGAACGCUGGCGGCGUGCCUAAUACAUGCAAGUCGAGCGAACGGACGAGAAGCUUGCUUCUCUGAUGUUAGCGGCGGACGGGUGAGUAACACGUGGAUAACCUACCUAUAAGACUGGGAUAACUUCGGGAAACCGGAGCUAAUACCGGAUAAUAUUUUGAACCGCAUGGUUCAAAAGCGAAAGACGGUCUUGCUGUCACUUAUAGAUGGAUCCGCGCUGCAUUAGCUAGUUGGUAAGGUAACGGCUUACCAAGGCAACGAUGCAUAGCCGACCUGAGAGGGAGAUCGGCCACACUGGAACUGAGACACGGUCCAGACGCCUACGGGAGGCAGCAGUAGGGAAUCUUCCGCAAUGGGCGAAAGCCUGACGGAGCAACGCCGCGUGAGUGAUGAAGGUCUUCGGAUCGUAAAACUCUGUUAUUAGGGAAGAACAUAUGUGUAAGUAACUGUGCACAUCUUGACGGUACCUAAUCAGAAAGCCACGGCUAACUACGUG
rnacentral:rRNA from 1 species